GCAGAUUAAAUAAUAAAAUAAACACGUCUUUUCCUGUUAUUUUAAAUUGAAAUUUUCUUCUGUUUCAGCUUGUGUACAGUUAUUCAAUCCACUACGUAAGAAUUCAGUGAAUACAUUAUUCCAUUCACUAAACAUUUUUGCAAAGUGUUCUUCAAUGAUCUUCUUCCAUAUAUAUAUUUGAUAUGAGGGAGCGAUGUAAAUGUGUGAUAAAACUGGUGUUCCUUUUUUCAACAACAAAAUAGUAUUUUUUCUGCAUUUCUCCUUUCUUUCGACUAAUAUAUAUAAUAUGUUGUUGCUUUUAUACAAUAGUGUUUUUGUGUAUCUAUGAUAGAACUCCAUUUUGUUUAUGGCCAUUAUCAUGUGAUUAUGAUGAAAUUUCCUAUUUCUUUUUUGCAGGAAAGCACACAUUCCAGUUCAAAUUAAUCCAAUUGCGCACUAUGUAGAUACAUUUCAACUUUAAGUUUCCUCUUCAGUAAUGACCUAUUGAUCAUGAAAACCAAGAUGUCUGAUCACC
rnacentral:lncRNA from 1 species